rnacentral:snRNA from 1 species
AGAUGUGAAGGCAAUCUGGGUGUGACAUUUGUCACUCCACUGACUGCCAGGGUUGAUUCAGAUGAUCUGGCUGGCUAGGCAGGUGUCCUCUUCCUCCCUCAAUGCUCCACUUGUGUCAUUUCCAAAGCUGUGUGCUCGAUCAAAUAGAAGAGGGUGACCUUCCCCAAUAGAGGAGGACAGGUCUUUGGUCAAAGGUAUGUGAGUUGCUUCUCUCCCCUGCUAGAAUGUCCGGACCAGCUCUCAUAUAACUGAUAGCACGUGCAGUCACUAAAGACUUUAGCACACCCAUUAAAUUCCUAUGGCUUUACCCCAAUAUGAAUUAUUUU